GGAAGUAAAAGUCGUAACAAGGUUUCCGUAGGUGAACCUGCGGAAGGAUCAUUACCGAGUGAGGGCCCUCUGGGUCCAACCUCCCACCCGUGUUUAUUUUACCUUGUUGCUUCGGCGGGCCCGCCUUAACUGGCCGCCGGGGGGCUUACGCCCCCGGGCCCGCGCCCGCCGAAGACACCCUCGAACUCUGUCUGAAGUUUGUAGUCUGAGUGAAAAUAUAAAUUAUUUAAAACUUUCAACAACGGAUCUCUUGGUUCCGGCAUCGAUGAAGAACGCAGCGAAAUGCGAUACGUAAUGUGAAUUGCAAAUUCAGUGAAUCAUCGAGUCUUUGAACGCACAUUGCGCCCCCUGGUAUUCCGGGGGGCAUGCCUGUCCGAGCGUCAUUGCUGCUCUCAAGCACGGCUUGUGUGUUGGGCCCCGUCCUCCGAUCCCGGGGGACGGGCCCGAAAGGCAGCGGCGGCACCGCGUCCGGUCCUCGAGCGUAUGGGGCUUCGUCACCCGCUCUGCAGGCCCGGCCGGCGCUUGCCGACACAUCAAUCUUUUUUCCAGGUUGACCUCGGAUCAGGUAGGGAUACCCGCUGAACUUAAGCAUAUCAAUAAGCGGAGGA
rnacentral:rRNA from 1 species